UACGAACUGUGCAAACGUUAUUCGGAAUCACUGGGCUUACAGGGUGCGUAGGCGGCUUGUUAAGUAGGGUGUGAAAGCCCCCGGCUCAACCGGGGAAUUGCGCCCUAAACUGGCGAGCUGGAGUGAGAUAGGGGUGUGUGGAACUUCCGGUGGAGCGGUGAAAUGUGUUGAUAUCGGAGGAACGCCGGUGGCGAAAGCGACACACUGGAUCUUGAUCUGACCGCUGAGGCACGAAAGCCAGGGGAGCGAACGGGG
rnacentral:rRNA from 1 species